CUACGGGCGGCAGCAGUGAGGAAUAUUGCACAAUGGAGGAAACUCUGAUGCAGCAACGCCGCGUGGAGGAUGGCGCAUUUCGGUGUGUAAACUCCUUUUAUAUGUCAAGAAAAUGACGGUAGCAUAUGAAUAAGCUCCGGCUAACUCCGUGCCAGCAGCCGCGGUAAUACGGAGGGAGCAAGCGUUACUCGGAAUCACUGGGCGUAAAGGACGCGUAGGCGGGAUAGAAAGUCAGGUGUGAAAUCCUAUGGCUCAACCAUAGAACUGCACUUGAAACUUCUAACCUAGAGUAUGGGAGGGGAAGAUGGAAUUAGUGGUGUAGGGGUAAAAUCCGUAGAUAUCACUAGGAAUACCAAAAGCGAAGGCGAUCUUCUGGAACAAUACUGACGCUAAGGCGUGAAAGCGUGGGGAGCAAACAGGAUUAGAUACCCGGGUAGUC
rnacentral:rRNA from 1 species